GUUUUAGUAAUUUAAAAAAAAUAUUGGUCUUGUAAAUCAAAUCUAAGUAUAAGAUUACUUCUAAAACU
rnacentral:tRNA from 1 species